rnacentral:lncRNA from 1 species
CUCAAAUCCCUCCGAUGUGGGACAACUCAACACCCCCCUCACGUCCAGAUUUCUGGAGCGUGGUCAACAUAAAUGGGGGCCCAACAUCGGUAACAAUAAUUGGGACGGGCUUGGCUCUGACACCAUGAUAAGAAUGGACAUUCGGCCUAACUCAACCCCAAAAGCUAGCUUAUGAGGAGAGGAUUGCCCAAACCAUAUAAGGAGACCAAGGACCUCAAAUCCCUCCGAUGUGGGACAACUCAACAAUUGUGAUAACUGAUUUUUCCUGCAAGGCGAAUACUGCAGGUCAGAGAGACAUACAAGUCAAUUGUUUAGCUGAAUCAUCAGAGAAAAAGUAUUCUUUCUUGAAAACAAAACCAUAAACAAAAGCGAGGAAACAAAAAGCCAACCCAAUAUUCUUCAGGAGUUUUGGUACAUAGUCUUUCCACUUAUCGUGCAUUGGCUUGAAGAUGUCAUAGCUGUAGAACAAACCACAAAAGAAUUCUCAGGACAAGAGAUGAUCUGGGCAACACCAGAAAGUGAGUACAUAACUUUGC